rfam:Lactobacillus bifermentans DSM 20003 NODE_30, whole genome shotgun sequence.
GAAAGGCUAAGCGACAAUGUUGCGCUUACGAAUCGUGUCAGGUUCGGAAGAAAGCAGCACUAAGUAGGAUGUGGCAUGUGUCGCUUAUUAUUUUGAAAUA